CCUACGGGAGGCAGCAGUGAGGAAUAUUGGUCAAUGGUCGGGAGACUGAACCAGCCAAGCCGCGUGAGGGAUGAAGGUACAGAGUAUCGUAAACCUCUUUUGUCAGGGAACAAAGGCGGGGACGUGUCCCCGGAUGAGUGUACCUGACGAAAAAGCAUCGGCAAACUCCGUGCCAGCAGCCGCGGUAAUACGGGGGAUGCGGGCGUUAUCCGGUUUUAUGGGGUUAAAGGGGUGCGCAGGCGGUCUGUUAUGUCAGCGGUCAAAGCCCGGGGCUCAACCCCGGCCCGCCGUUGAAACUGGCAGUCUCGAGUUGGAGAGAAGUAUGCGGAAUGCGCGGUGUAGCGGUGAAAUGCAUAGAUAUCGCGCAGAACUCCGAUUGCGAAGGCAGCAUGCCGGCUCCACACUGACGCUGAGGCACGAAAGCGUGGGUAUCGAACAGGAUUAGAUACCCCAGUAGUC
rnacentral:rRNA from 1 species